rnacentral:rRNA from 1 species
CGUGAUAGGGGACACCGAGUGCCAGCAUCAUAUGCUGGCUGUCCGGAUGUGUAAAAUACAUCCGUUAGCAAGGGCCGGGCAAGACCGGUGCCAGCCGCCGCGGUAACACCGGCGGCCCGAGUGGUGAUCGUGAUUAUUGGGUCUAAAGGGUCCGUAGCCGGUUUGGUCAGUCCUCCGGGAAAUCUGAUAGCUCAACUAUUAGGCUUUCGGGGGAUACUGCCAGACUUGGAACCGGGAGAGGUAAGAGGUACUACAGGGGUAGGA